rnacentral:rRNA from 1 species
GUAGGUGGCAAGCGUUGUCCGGAAUUAUUGGGCGUAAAGCGCGCGCAGGCGGUUCUUUAAGUCUGAUGUGAAAGCCCACGGCUCAACCGUGAGGGUCAUUGGAAACUGGAGAACUUGAGUACAGAAGAGGAAAGCGGAAUUCCACGUGUAGCGGUGAAAUGCGUAGAGAUGUGGAGGAACACCAGUGGCGAAGGCGGCUUUCUGGUCUGUAACUGACGCUGAGGCGCGAAAGCGUGGGGAGCAAACAGGGAUUAGAUACCCUGGUAGUCACGCCGUAAACGAUGAGUGCUAAGUGUUAGGGGGUUUCCGCCCCCUUAGUGCUGCAGCUAACGCAUUAAGCACUCCGCCUGGGGAGUACGGCCGCAAGGCUG